rnacentral:miRNA from 1 species
GCAGACACAUUCCAGCCAAUCAGCAGCAGACCCUCUCUCCCAGACCCUCCCACUCCUGGACAGCUCACUAAGAAUGCAGCUUCACAAUGAAUGUAAAAUGGAUGCUGUCCAGGAGGUGGGAGGGUCUGGGAGGGAGGGUCUGCUGCUGAUUAGCUGGAAUGUGUCUG